UGCGCNGCCUAAAUGCAAGUCGAGCGGAUGAGGGGAGCUUGCUCCCUGAUUUAGCGGCGGACGGGUGAGUAAUGCCUAGGAAUCUGCCUGGUAGUGGGGGAUAACGUUCCGAAAGGAACGCUAAUACCGCAUACGUCCUACGGGAGAAAGCAGGGGACCUUCGGGCCUUGCGCUAUCAGAUGAGCCUAGGUCGGAUUAGCUAGUUGGUGAGGUAAUGGCUCACCAAGGCGACGAUCCGUAACUGGUCCGAGAGGAUGAUCAGUCACACUGGAACUGAGACACGGUCCAGACUCCUACGGGAGGCAGCAGUGGGGAAUAUUGGACAAUGGGCGAAAGCCUGAUCCAGCCAUGCCGCGUGUGUGAAGAAGGUCUUCGGAUUGUAAAGCACUUUAAGUUGGGAGGAAGGGCAUUAACCUAAUACGUUAGUGUUUUGACGUUACCAACAGAAUAAGCACCGGCUAACUUCGUGCCAGCAGCCGCGGUAAUACGAAGGGUGCAAGCGUUAAUCGGUAUUACUGGGCGUAGAGCGCGCGUAGGUGGUUCGUUAAGUUGGGUGUGAAAGCCCCGGGCUCAACCUGGGAACUGCAUCCUUAACUGGCGAGCUAGAGUNACGGUAGAGGGUGGUGGUAUUUCCUGUGUAGCGGUGAAAUGCGUAGAUAUAGGAAGGAACACCAGUGGCGAAGGCGACCACCUGGACUGAUACUGACACUGAGGUGCGAAAGCGUGGGGGAGCAAACAGGAUUAGA
rnacentral:rRNA from 1 species